rnacentral:rRNA from 1 species
UGCGCAGGCGGUCCGUUGUGUCCGAUGUGAAAGCCCCGGGCUUAACCUGGGAAUGGCAUGGGAAACUGGCGGGCUGGAGUGUGGCAGAGGGGGGUGGAAUUCCGCGUGUAGCAGUGAAAUGCGUAGAGAUGCGGAGGAACACCGAUGGCGAAGGCAGCCCCCUGGGCCAACACUGACGCUCAGGCACGAAAGCGUGGGGAGCAAACA